GACGAACCGAGCGACCGUUGUUCGGAAUCACUGGGCUUAAAGGGCUCGUAGGCGGCUGCUCAAGUCCGGGGUGAAAUCCUCCAGCUCAACUGGAGAACUGCCUCGGAUACUGGGUGCCUCGAGGGUGGUAGGGGUAUGCGGAACUAUCGGUGGAGCGGUGAAAUGCGUUGAUAUCGAUAGGAACUCCGGUGGCGAAGGCGGCAUACUGGACCACAUCUGACGCUGAGGCGCGAAAGCCAGGGGAGCAAACGGG
rnacentral:rRNA from 1 species